AUGAAGGACAAAGAGCAGAGAAUGGGAGACGGGGCAGAUGGGGGAAAAAGCAAUGACGAUGAGAGGAUCAGUGGGAAGAGGGGAAGAAGUGAAAUGUGGGAUAAUGAGGCGAAAGAAAAAAGUCCCAGCAAGAGGGCGAUUUCAAAAGAACAAGCUGCAAUUUGGUGUGAAACAGCGGAGAAAAGAUCCGUUCUUACAAGCGCACAGAUGAAUGUUUGUCGCGUUUUUUUGCGGUUGAGAUUUUGCAUCUGUUCGAAAAACGUCUACUACUCAUUUCAAACGUCAUUACUGAUGUUAAUCAGCACUGCAUAAUAAGAUAUGGGGAAAAAAAUAUGAUUAAAAUAUGAUUGUUCACUUUGAAAAAAUGCUAAUUUCGAACACACCAUUUUAAUGAAGUGUUAACAUUCAUACAGCUGUUCGUGUCCACACCUGGACAUCAAGGGACCUUUUUGGCCCUGAACUGAGCCUCUCAAGCAGCUCUUACUUGCUCAUUAUACAGAAAAAAAAACCGCCUGCAGAUGCAAAACAGGAUCAAUGUAUUUGCCAUGACCACCAUGACUUACAACUAAUUCUGGAGACUCUAACUCUAACUCUAACUAAUAAAGUACUCCAGUAAUUUAGCAUUAUACUCCUGUUACAUCGUCAGACUCGUGAUAUAAAGUUCUAAAAAGCACAGCUGACACUUUGGUCAUACAUUGGGGGGUUUUAUGCUGGUAAUGGCUAAUGUAGCCUGGAGCCUGUUGUCUGCCGCAGACUUAUACCCUCUAUAAAUGGUGCCUUUAUUGGCCUUUUCCGCUAAAGGAACUGAUCGACCCAUAACUUGUCCAGGUUCUGCUUUUGUUUCCACUAUUAUCCCCCCACUCUGGGAGCAAGUCCCUGAACUUACACUUCAGUACCGGUACUAAAUCCAUGUUCUAGAUACUCUUGGGGCAGUGCCUGAAUUGGACCAAAAUAAGAUGCCAGUACGCUAUUUCAGCACAAUCCUAAUCCCUCAGAUAAGAUAACCCUAACCUUAAUUCUUCUGCCAUUUUGAGCCUUUUUAACAAGGACAGUGAAAGUGCUUCUUAGCGUGCGUUUCUUAGCAGCGGUGAAGCGCUGUAAGUAUCAGUAUCAGUACCAACGAUACCGACUGGUAUCGGAUUGGUAUCGGAUCGAUACCAAAUCCUGCUGUAUCGCCCACCACUAUUCACAACCUUUAUUGAAUACUCCUAGGAAAAAUCCAGACCUUCGUGACCUCAGUAGUGGGUACAGACAUCCUACCUAGAGGUCAUGGUACUCAGUAAGAUACUCAUGUGGACACAAAAUCAGAAAGGCCAGAAUGAAGGAACCUUGUACAUCUUUGAAAAGUAGUUCCUGGAACUAAAAGUGGCUAUAGUCAGGCUUUGUGUUGUGUGGGAGCUGACCUCCCAUCAAAGUAGUAUAAUCAUACAUCUGUGGGGCUCUCAAAUACAUUACCACAACCAUUAUUUUAAUGACAAAUAAUGCUCAGGCUAUAGAGUAAAAACGUGACUAAACUGAGAACCAAGUACGUUCAGAAAAGUUCACGUUAUGGUUAAAGUUUCAAUAGCGGAAAAGGGCUUUUAUUCGAAGUGGUGGGUGCCACACAAUUAUAGUUAGAUGCCGUCAGGUGUAAAUGAAAAAAGUUCCACCUCUUCCAAGUCUUUUCAUUUAUUUGCGCUGCCAGACCAUCUCUCGCCUCUGCCAUCCCAUUAUGCUCCAGUGUUGGCACUGCCCGACAGACUGAACUCAUUAACUGUCUGUGAUGAGGGCAAUAGACAUGCUGACAGCUGUAUAGGAGACAAUCGGGUCUCCUGCGGCUCCACUUGUUGCCAUCAUUGUGUUUUCACACGCUUACACAAAGAAACCCUGCAGUUGGGUCUUAACUUCCAUGCUCCAAAUUAAAUGCAUUGUUCAAAAUGUUAUUACCAAAGGUUGUUUCAUUAUGUGUUUAAACUUUAAUUGCCUAAUUGUAAUUGCAACCCUCAGUCUCCCUUUGGCAGGGGCUGUGUCAACACCGUAAUUUAGUGUAAACACAGCAGACUGAAUAAUGACCUGCAAACAUUUUUGCACAGUGUGCAUGAACACAACAGCAGCUAUUGGUUUAAACAUAAACCGAAAAAUAAUACGUAAAUUGAUCAGAAAUAGACUAAAGCUUGAAAAACAGUCAAACACACACACAGGUGUAAAAGGGGAUCAAAUGCUUGGAAGAUAAAAUCCUUCAUUGUUUUUGGACUUAGUGUCCUACCUCUCUUGUGUUUUCCUCUUUAAAUCCCUCGAUCCUCUCUGAGUUGCGUCACUGCCUCGCUCGACCCGCAGUCCCGCAAUCCCUCUGUUCCCUCCCACUGAACCGCACCAGCUGUUUAUCUCCGUCCUCGUUUCAGCUCCUCGUCUGUCUCCUCUCCGCUCUCUUUCCCUGUGAAUGCAUGCCUCAGAAAGCUAGAAAUGGUGUCUUCCUCUAAGGAUGAAAUGGAGGAUAAUUAUGAGAAAUGUCUGUUUCAUUUUGACCAAGUGCAGAGUCACAAACAGUCCUGAUAGAAAACAACAGCUGCUACAUUAUGUUGUCAAAAAUUACAGCUUCCAAUGAGGGAUCUCAUUUCAAAACAGCUGAAAUGUUGUCAUCAGUAAGUAUUUUACACACAUUUGACUGUAUCCACCACAAACAUCAGUUUUCUCUGGUAAUGACAAAACAUUUUAAGAAGUUUAAUAUUAAACCAUAAUGUGCUUUAGUUCAACAGCAUCCUGAGUUUAUAAUCCCUGGAUUUGAGUUUUACAGUUGACUUCUGAACAGCAUUAUACUUUGAGUGGAAGCAGGUCAAAUGGAGGUGCAGAAAGACAGUUUGACGCCAUCUGGUUUGCUUUGGAUCCCCACAGCUAUGCCACAAUGCAGUGCAUGGAUUCGUCAUCAUACACCCGACAAUAGUGUUGGGAUUUGAGUUAUUUUGGGGUUGUUAGCGUAAAAGUCUGAUUUACUGGAACGGCUUGGAUGGACAUGAGUCAUCAGUGCUUCUUUAAUCAAAGUUAAAACGGUAUAAGCCUGUGGAAAUCUAAGGAAAGACUUGAACAAGUAUCCAGGUGCUAUUGUUUGCAAUCUCAGAACCCAUCAGCUAUUGUCUGACGCCGAUUUAGCCUGUUGGCAACGGCCAAUGUCUUGGCGGUUGCAGUGUCGCCAGCAGAUAUCUGAAUAAUGAUAUCCAAGCUUAAACUUCCUCUUCUAGAUGCAUUUCAGCUAAUCUCUAAUUACAGAUAUCGGGAAAGGAAUGCCGAUAUGUUUUAAAAAAAAACGAUAGCCAGGGAUUCCAAGACUGCGUUUCGACUGAUGCAUUCUGCCUCUUUAGCUCUCCAGACCAUAUUCUGUCACCAGACGGUCCUCCAUUGGUAUUGGAUGCUGUAUUGGGAUCCGAUCUGGCUGUACUGUUCACUGGGAGCUCCCAGUCCGACAAUGUCAGCUAAUGUGUUUGCUAUUUUAUGGAUGCUACAUUGGAAAAAGAGGAGAACAGAAAACCUCCUGUUAUUCCAACUAUUUCCCUUAAAUUUGUUAAUCUUUUGUUCUGAUGAUUCAAGUUUCAGACCCAUCCAAGCUGCUGAAGCACUCCAUCUUUGAGUCAUGUGACAUUUUAUACGUGAAAAAUGAAUGUAACUUUUCCUUCCGGGUCCACACGAGCGAACUAACUUACCCGCUAGCUCACUCGCUAACCUGCUAUUUAGAUCCGUAGCGUUUACUAGCAAGUUACUAAACUUAGAACUGUUGGCAAACAAAAAAGGUAGUGAGUUACACAGCUAACUUAUUCCCAUUGACAAGAUUAAUAAAUUCAGCUGGAAUUUGCAAAGCUUGUGGACUCAAACGUUAGCUACAAACAUUCGUAAAGUGUGCCUACGCUAGCACUGUGGGACAAGCUUGAAAGUAAAUAAGAUGGCGUCAAACUUUGAUGAAAUUCACCUUUUUAAUUGCUCCUUGUGUGUAAGUCAGCCUGUUUUCUAUUAUUUAAAGAAAAGAGUUGAACAGGUAUUUAGUUUCUCAUUGAUGACGUUCUGAUGUAUUCUGGCGAGGUUUGCGAUUGGAGGACACAGAUGCUGCUCAACCUUUAUCAAACAUGAAUGUAAACUUCUUUGUAACAUGGCUGUAAUGUUGUAUAUUGUAUAAUUUUGUGUAAAUAUUGGCUCUGUGAAAGACUGUAACCUAGCACAAACUGUUGGCCUUUACCUGCGUCCAACAACAGAUGUACUAUUCUCAAGCACAAACACGCCUCUGGACUCUUUCUUACUGUCUGUAUGUGUGUGUGUUUUCUGUGUGUAUUGUUGAAAUUUGACCAUAUUCAGCUUCGAAACAAUAACCAUGAACUUGAAUAUCAUAUGCUGCCAAGGUGCUGAUGAACUGGCAACAAACCAGAACAUAGUGUAUUAACAUUUAAUUAUAACUGUGGGCUUGUGAAUUAUUGUAAGAACCCCUAAUUAAUGACUGUCUAGGUGAAAUGAAAAAUGUAAUUUUAACCCAUUUGGAUCAUAUUUUAUGGACGAAAUAUUGUCUGGUUUUGCCUCUGAUGUCCACUACCGCUGAUGGACUGGGGGGACGUAACACAUAGUAAAAAGAAGUCCCUCCCUAAUUGCCUGUCUUUUCAAAGGAAAUAUGAAAAUGUGCAGAAGCAAAUAACACUUUGAUUUCCAUUUUUUGCUGAUGGUUUAUAACGUGAGACAUUCUUAUUAUUAUGUAUUUGCACUAUAGGUGCACACUCUAAUCUGCCAUAAUGAAACCAUUAGUUUGUAAAAAUGUUAAACGUUUUAAUGACUUUGUCCUUUUUAAUUGGGAUGUACACAGUGGUAUUUAUGGCAGGACAGAGGUUUAAUCUCGUUUUUAAUCUGUAAAAAAGUUACGAAACUUGCGUAAAAUGGAUUUAUAACUAUUAAAAAGGCUAUAAAUGAUCCUAGCCAUUUAAAUUAAAGCAAAAACUAUGAAUUUCAUUUUAGAUAGACUUCUCUCAGUACUCCCAAGUCUGACUGACGUCCAGCAUCCCUGUGCACGUUUACUGGGUGAGAAAAUGUGUUAGUGGAUCACUAAUAUUUAUAGCUACAGUCAUAAGAGUGUAUUUGCUUUUUAGGACUUUUCCAAAUGCCUACUAAACUAGCAGCAUGUACUGAUUUGACCAAAAUAUAGUAUGCAAACAAAAGCAAAUUCUGCAGUAUGCCAAAAACACCUGGAUGUCGUACUUAUUCGGAAGAAAAGCUCCAGUCUUAUGUGUGUCCCAUAGUGCAACGCAAUCACAACAACUCGUUGGGCCAACAGUGCAAAAAUGAACACCCU
rnacentral:lncRNA from 15 species